GCCCAGACUCCUACGGGAGGCAGCAGUGGGGGAUAUUGCACAAUGGGGGAAACCCUGAUGCAGCGACGCCGCGUGAGUGAAGAAGUAAUUCGUUACGUAAAGCUCUAUCAGCAGGGAAGAAAAUGACGGUACCUGACUAAGAAGCCCCGGCUAACUCCGUGCCAGCAGCCGCGGUAAUACGGAGGAUGCGAGCGUUAUCCGGAUUUAUUGGGUUUAAAGGGUGCGUAGGCGGGAUGCCAAGUCAGCGGUCAAAUACGGGGGCGCACCCUGCGUCCGCCGUUGAAACUGGCGUUCUUGAGUGGGCGAGAAGUACGCGGAAUGCGUGGUGUAGCGGUGAAAUGCAUAGAUAUCACGCAGAACCCCGAUUGCGAAGGCAGCGUACCGGCGCCCAACUGACGCUGAAGCACGAAAGCGUGGGUAUCGAACAGGAUUAGAUACCCCGGUACC
rnacentral:rRNA from 1 species